GGUACCUGAAGAGAGGUUGUCUGUGAUGAGUUCGCUUUAUUAAUGACGAAUAUAACACAGAUGGCCUGUCUUCAGUACU
rfam:Cavia porcellus supercont2_111 genomic scaffold, whole genome shotgun sequence.